rnacentral:rRNA from 1 species
CCCUUAGACGCUCUAGGCGGCACGCGCGCUACAAUGGGUGGUAGAACGUGUAACUGCUCCCGAAAGGGAGGGUGAACCACGAAUACUUACCCGUGAAUGGGAUAGUUUGUUGCAAUUUUCGGACUUGAACUAGGAAUCCCUUGUAAGAAUGCUCAAGAAUAGCGUGCUGAAUACGUCCCUGCCGUUUGUACACACCGCCCGUCGUUUCUUCCGACUGAUACUCAUUGUGAGUUGCAAGGAUUCUUAUUGAAAAAUUACUGCGAAUGCUUUGUAUUGGAGGAAGAAAAAGUCGUAACA